CUCGUUCAGUCUGAUGCAGCCAAGCCUCCUUUCGGCGAAGCAGGUGCCUCACUUCUCUGAGCCUCUUUUCUCGUCUGGAAAAUGUGCACGACAGCCCCUCCCGCCCGGGGUUGUUGCAAAACGAACCGAGAGAGUGCGUGCAAACCGCUCAGCUGGCCCGCGGCGCCGCCGGCCGCAGCGCAGGGUGUGCGCGGCACCUUCUGCGUCCCGGUUUCUGCUCAACACAAAACGCUCCCGUUUCUCUCACGGUGGGAUCCACUAGGAGAAAAUCCAGUUUGGAAACCCGGAGGGCAGAGGACACGUUGUGGCCGUUGCAGGCGAUCAUUGCAAAAAUAAACACAGGUGCAGCCUGGGGCCCUUGCGGGAGGCUGCAGGUGGCUGCGGGAGAGCCACAUUUUACUCCCAAAGGGGGGGAGUGGGGGGGUGGGGGGGAGGGUGGUGGUGGUGGAGGAUCUCUUUUCAGAACCAGUUUCAAGGUGAAGAGUCUGGUUCACCUGAAUAAAAGAAGCUGGACUGAACUCAUCAAUAUUCAUGGUCUGCUAGGGACGCUAUACCAACAUUUCACGGAGGGUGGCUGGGGGGACGGGGUGCUGGGGGAGGUGGGGGGUGUGCCCUAAACAGCUGACAUUUACUUCUCACAGGUCUGGGGGCGGGGAAGUCCAGGAGCACCAUGCCAGGCCAAUUCCUGCUCUGGUGAGAGCUCCCUUCCAGGCUUGCCGCUGGCUGCCUUCUUGCUGCGUCCUCACAGGGCAGACAGAGCUCUGGUGUCUCCUCCUCUUAGAAGCACUUCAAUCCCACCUUGAGGACCCCACUCUCAUGACCUCAUCUAAACCUAAUUACCUCCCAAAGAGCCAGUCUCGGAAGACCAGCACACUGGGGAUUAAGGCUUUGUCAUAUGGAUUUGGGGUGGGGCAUGGCACGCGUCACUUGCAGCACUAUCUACACCGUAUUCCUACUUAUUCCUCUCUCCUGUUACCCACCUGUUCCUAUUAUUCCUAUUAUAUAUAUAUAUACCACCCAACCAUUAGUGGAUGACAAUAGGCAGCUAGACAAUAGUUCAUGAGUAAGUACAUAUAUCUAUAGCUACUUACAUAUAAAGAAACAUACGUAAAUAUAUAUAGAUAUUCAUUAUGGACUGUUGCCCAUUUGCCUAUUAUCUGUUAUUGUUGUUAUCCGCGGAUGGGUGGGUGGGCUACAUCUAUGUUGUCUAAUAGAACUUUCUGCAGGGAUAGAAAUAUUCCAAAUCUGUGCUCUUUAAUAUGGAAGUCAUUAGACAAAUGUGGCUGUUGAGACUUGACACGUGGCUAAUACAACUAAGGAAAUGAAUUGUAAAUUUUAUUGCGUUUUCAUUAUUAUAUUUCAGUUUAAAGAGCCACAUGGGUUACUGGCUACUGUAUUGGACAGUGCAGAGCUAGACCGAGGUGUAUAUACAGUUUCCUCUUUAUUCAAUUUUUUUUUUUAAUUUUUUUUAUUUAUUUUAUGAUAGUCACAGAGAGAGAGAGAGAGGGGCAGAGACAUAGGCAGAGGGAGAAGCAGGCUCCAUGCACCGGGAGCCCGAUGUGGGAUUCGAUCCCGGGUCUCCAGGAUCGCGCCCUGAGCCAAAGGCAGGCGCCAAACCGCUGCGCCACCCAGGGAUCCCUCCUCUUUAUUCAAUUGAUUGGUUGUGUUGAGUUUGGAAAAUCUGGGGUUUAAGACAGUCUCAGUUUUCAGAGUUAACCCAUGUGGGAGUAGGUGAAAACGGUUGUCUCUUUAUAAAUGAGGAACCAAGGCUGAGAGCAGUGAGCCCAAGGUGACACGGUGGGUCAGCGGCUGAGCCUACCUGCCACCUCCAUGUGGUGGUUCCUUCCUCUGUGUAAGCCUCCAGGAAUCUAGGCUUCCUUCUUGUCCCUUCCAGAAGUGAUUUGGGAUGACUCACAGGACAAUGAGGACAACCCCACUCGACCAAGGUAUGGUGUGUGACCACAUAUUCGUGUGUGCCCACGCACCACGUAUGUGUGUAUGUGUGUGCAUUCGCGCAUGCAGGUGUGUGCAUGAGCAGGCCUCCUGUAGAAGGAGGUCGUGUGACCCUCUGCGCAGGAAAGAGGAUGGGGAGCAAACCUGAAUUGUUCACCGCACCCUUCCCCAUCCGUCCCAAAGAGACAGUGUAUUUUAGGUGCAUUUCGAUGACUGGUGUAAUUUUGUAGUCUAUUUUAGGAACAGACCAAAGGUGCUCUGGCAGGGCCAAUUCUAGCAAUGGGAAAGGUUUCUUGGGGUCUGAGCACAAGAGAGGCCGAUGGGGUUUCAAGACACCCUUAGAGUUUCUUCCAAGCGCUGCUAUAAUGCCACACCCACCAAUCCCAACCAUCCACCACCAGGUAUGGAGGGCUUCCUCAGUGCCAGGUCCUGCACUCAGCACUCUACAGAGUCUUACUAUUUCCAGCCCCAAGCCACGAGGCAUGGCCUUCCCCGCCACUUAGGGAGGCACGGAGACACGUACAGCCAGGAUAUUGCCAAGCUGCUCCCAAGCCCAAUCACUUAAACUUUCAGCUCAUUUUUUGGUGGCUGGUUUCACACUCUUCUAUUUUCUCUGUUCCCCUUCAGCCCACCUCAACCAGCUGCUAUCAAGAACAUUUGGGUGAGCCAAUGUUGUAACUGCCAAAAGUCUGGUUCUAAAAUAAGAAUGGGCAAGGUUCCUCCCGAUUCCGGCACCGGAGAGCCUCCCUUGGACACCAUUGUGCCCGAGCAGUUACGUGGGUAGUCUCAUUUUCCACUGGCUUACCGUAUGGUUCUGGUAAUGAGUUCCGGAUCCUUCUUACAGAACUAACGGCCCUUGCUGCCAGACCUUUAAAUACACCAAGUCCAGGCGUUUGGCAGGGAGUUGCUUGCUGGGACUAGGGUAGAAUGCCUGGGGUGAGUUGAGUCUUUUGGUUGUUCUGAAGAAUGACUUCUAGGAGUGGUGGCGCCAUUAAUCAUAAGAACAUGUGGAAUCUGUGGGAGAUUUCCAGCUUGGUCAGGUGGUGAAGGGCUUUUCCUUUCACAGCACUGCUCAAUGCCUGGGUGUCCUGAGCUUGCCCUCUGUUCUGGGGACUUAUGUGUGUCCUGGUUGUCUAGAGUGGGUGGCUGCAAGGGCCUGAGCAUAGGGGUCACCACUUGGGGGUGAUCAAUGGAUCAAGUGUUGACGCUGGCAAGAGAGUAAGUUCCCCAAUGCUAGAAUUUUCCAAGGAGGCAAAUAAAUGUCAAUAAUCCGUCA
rnacentral:lncRNA from 1 species